rnacentral:lncRNA from 1 species
AUUUCAGAGGCUAGUGAAGUUAUUUUCCUUUUUCUUUCACUUCAUGCAUUAAACUGUGUUUUAUUCCUAAUGUGUAUCCAAUUUUAGGUUGUUAAACUGCAAUCAAAAGCACUUAGGAGGAAUGGAUCUGUCCCUGUUAUGGGAUUUGAACUGACAUCUUUAUCCACUGGAACUUGAGUGCCCAGGACACACCAGAGAGGGGAUUUUGAGAGCGUUUCACAAGGCCUGCAGCUGUGAGCCGGUUGCAGCAUGAGGAAAAGCCCUCCAUCACCCCAAUGCACAGGAAAGAGAAGACAGAUGACAGUAGCUAUCCUCCUUCAAUACUGAGGAAAAGGCCACCUGUGGACCAAGCUGUGGGGGAAAAGAGGAAAGCAGAGAGAAGGGUUCGAUUUCGUGAGCCAGAAGAAGUCAUUGAACAUGGUACGCUCAAGCUACUAAGCCUUUGGCAUGACCUUUCCAGCCUUUGACAUUCACCCUGUCUGUCUACAUUAACUUCCCCCUGUCAUAACGUUAUGUGUGAUUUGGAGCUCAGCACGGAGCAGAGGACAGACAAUUUUUGCUCUGUGCUCUGCAGAAUUGUAUCUGGUCCAUUUGCCUGCCUGACCCGGGAGGCAACAAGCUUCUCCAUCCCAUUAGAGCAGCCUCAGGGCUGUUCUCGUGGUGACCUCCUGAGUCAGCCCCCGCAGGGAUCGUUGUAGAGCAUGGGUUUGGCUGAGCCCAGAACAGUGCUUCCACUGGUAGAAAAGGAUCUCAAACUACAUUUGAACACAAAUUUAAGACCAAAUUUGUCCUCUGGAUAACCAGGAUGUAAUGGCAAGGAGGGAAGCAGCCCCUUCAAGUUUCUGAGUAACAUGCGUGCCAUCAGAUACAAUAGUAAAGGUCUGAGCCUGGCUGGCCAACUGGGGCUAAAAGCUGCCAGGAUGUAACCCUUUCUGCCAAGGAGGGUACCCAAGGAAUGAUAGAGCUAACAUAACCUCUGGGCUUUCACUCAUGAGCCAAAAAAAACGGUUUGCAGGUCAACUGGGAGUGCCCUGAAGCAGAGGUCUGGCAAAAGGAUCCAGUCUGCACUUCUGCACGCGCUAUAUACAAUUCAUAAACAAAUAAGAACUGUUGCUUCAUUCCCACCUUUACAAACUGACCCAACUAA